AAGACUAUAGACCUGCGGAGUACCUGCGGAAGGAUCAUUCAUAAUAAAAGUGAAAUAAAUUAUGGCACUUUUAAAACAAUCCAUAUCCACCUUGUGUGCAAUGUUUUUUUUAUAUCAACUCUUUUAAAUACAAAUUGAUCUGAAAUUAUUUUAUAUGAAUACUUAAUUCAAAAAUAUAACUUUUAGCAAUGGAUCUCU
rnacentral:misc_RNA from 1 species